GACAGAGGGUGCAAACGUUGUUCGGAAUUACUGGGCGUAAAGCGCGUGUAGGCUGCUCUGCAAGUCGGGUGUGAAAGCCUGGGCUCAACCUAGGAAGUGCCCUCGAAACUGCAGAGCUGGAGUCCUGGAGAGGAAGGCGGAAUUCUCGGUGUAGAGGUGAAAUUCGUAGAUAUCGAGAGGAACACCGGUGGCGAAGGCGGCCUUCUGGACAGUGACUGACGCUGAGACGCGAAAGCGUGGGGAGCAAACAGG
rnacentral:rRNA from 1 species